AAACGAACGCUGGCGGCGUGCCUAAACACAUGCAAAGUCGGACGAGAAAAGUUUCCUUCGGGAAAGCGAGUAAAAGUGGCGCACGGGUGAGUAAACACGUAGACAACCUGCCUUCCAGUCCGGGACAAACCUUUCGAAAAGAAAGGGCUAAAUAACCGGAUAAACAACUUUGGGCCGCAUGGCCUGGGGUUGAAAGAAUUUA
rnacentral:rRNA from 1 species